AUUGAACGCUGGCGGCAUGCCUUACACAUGCAAGUCGAACGGUAACGCGGGGGCAACCUGGCGACGAGUGGCGAACGGGUGAGUAAUGCAUCGGAACGUACCCAGUAGUGGGGGAUAGCCCGGCGAAAGCCGGAUUAAUACCGCAUACGACCUAAGGGUGAAAGCGGGGGACCGUAAGGCCUCGCGCUAUUGGAGCGGCCGAUGUCAGAUUAGGUAGUUGUGGGUAAAGGCCUACCAAGCCUUCGAUCUGUAGCUGGUCUGAGAGGACGACCAGCCACACUGGGACCUGAGACACGGCCCAGACUCCUACGGGAGGCAGUAGUGGGGAAUUUUGGACAAUGGGCGAAAGCCUGAUCCAGCCAUGCCGCGUGCGGGAAGAAGGCCUUCGGGUUGUAAACCGCUUUUGUCAGGGAAGAAACGCUCUGGGCUAAUACCCUGGGGUAAUGACGGUACCUGAAGAAUAAGCACCGGCUAACUACGUGCCAGCAGCCGCCGGUAAAGUCGAUAUCG
rnacentral:rRNA from 1 species